rnacentral:rRNA from 1 species
UUGGAGGGCAAGUCUGGUGCCAGCAGCCGCGGUAAUUCCAGCUCCAAUAGCGUAUAUUAAAGUUGUUGCAGUUAAAAAGCUCGUAGUUGAAUUUCGGGGUCAGUAGGUUGGUCAUGCCACUGGUAUGUACUGGUCUCACUGAUUCCUCCUUCCUGAUGAGCCGUAAUGCCAUUAAUUUGGUGUUGCGAGGAAUCUGGACUGUUACUUUGAAAAAAUUAGAGUGUUUAAAGCAGGCUAACGCUUGAAUACAUUAGCAUGGAAUAAUGAAAUAGGACGUUCGAUCUUAUUUUGUUGGUUUCUAAGAUUGACGUAAUGAUUAAUAGGGAUAGUUGGGGGCAUUAGUAUUCAAUUGUCAGAGGUGAAAUUCUUGGAUUUAUUGAAGACUAACUACUGCGAAAGCAUUUGCCAAGGAUGUUUUCAUUAAUCAAGAACGAAAGUUAGGGGAUCGAAGACGAUCAGAUACCGUCGUAGUCUUAACCAUAAACUAUGCCGACUAGGGAUCGGAUGAUGUUAAUUUUUUAAUGACUCAUUCGGCGCCUUACCGGGAAC